CAGAGGGUGCAAGCGUUGUUCGGAAUUAUUGGGCGUAAAGCGCGUGUAGGCGGCUUUGCAAGUCGGGUGUGAAAUCCCUCGGCUCAACCGAGGAAGUGCGCCCGAAACUGCAGAGCUUGAGUACCGGAGAGGAUGGUGGAAUUCCCCAAGUAGAGGUGAAAUUUGUAGAUAUGGGGAGGAACACCGGUGGCGAAGGCGACCAUCUGGACGGAUACUGACGCUGAGACGCGAAAGCGUGGGUAGCAAACAGGAUUAGAUACCCUGGUAGUCCACGCCGUAAACGAUGAGAACUAGGUGUCGUGGGUGUUGACCCCCGCGGUGCCGUAGCUAACGCAUUAAGUUCUCCGCCUGGGAAGUACGGCCGCAAGGCUA
rnacentral:rRNA from 1 species